UGUUGCAAGUUACAGCUGCGUAAAAUUUUACUAGCGUGCACGUGUGGAAAGUUUGUGGAGCGAGCGUCGGGGAACGUCGUCUAUAUUUGUCGCGUUCCUAAAUUAACGUUAGAGCUAGAAGAUACGGAAAGAAUGAGAUUUGCUGAUGUGUUUACAUGCCUGUUGAUGUUUCUGUCCAACUAACUGGUAGUGUCAGUUUCGUUAAUGUCGAGAAAACAAUUGGCAUUCAUUGCCCCAUGGAGCUGUCAAGUGACACUCGCCCGACUCGGGUCCGAGACGCGUACGGGCCCACGUGUUCAAGACGAUAUGCUGACCUGCUGGUGCUGCUGAUCGCAUAUACCCACGCUUACCCUACAUUGUACCUGCAGAUUGCCGCCCAGGCCAUUGCUCUUUAGAAAAUGCAAGGCACUCAAAGUCUCAUCGAUCGGAUUGAAACUCCAAAACUGAAGUACUGAAUACAGAUCCGAUCUAGUUUGAAGCGCAGUCUUCCAAUGUUGCUGCAUACAAGUUCCUGUGCCGGUCCAGUUCCUGUUCUGAUGUAGCAGCCUUCCCAGCCCAUGACUCUGUUCAGGUUUGGUGCAUGUAACUCAGCCCUAUCCCCUGUUUCCUUGCUCCAAGGCAGGUAAGUCUUGUUUUAAACAUUUAUGGACCAGGUAAUGUUUUAAUUGAAAUUGUACAUGUACAUGUACAAAUAUUUUCCCAUAGUCACCAAAACGUACGGGAUUAUGCUGUGAUGAUUUCGAUAAUAUUCAGCAAAGGUAGUAUUUUAAAAAAAGUUUUACUUUUGACCCUCAAUGAAGCUGUUGUUUACCAAUGGAAUUAUACCAAGAUUUCAGAUCAUGUAAACAAUGCAUGACAAAUUAUAUGAAGCUACUUCCAUCAGCUUUGUGAAAGAGAAUAACAAAAAACAAAGUCACUUU